UUAUUUUUCCUCGUAUAGUAACACAGUGUUAAUUUUAUAUAUGCAAUGUUAUUGUUACAUGAUAUCAAAUUUCGCGAAGAAGAAUUUUUCAAUUUCUUAUGAUUCGGCUAUAACAUGAAUUACACCGAAAAAGGAUUCUAAUCAUUAUUGUACUCAAUAUUACGCGAAAAAGCGUUUGGAAUCGUUGCUCUUUUUAGGACUACAUUGUCAGGUCCAUUUUAUAUUUCACAAUUUUCAGUCGUAGCUGUUGUAAGUUUUACAAAAUAGGUCGAUUUCAGUGUUUUAACCUUUUUCAACUUAUGUAAGAUAAUUAACAGAAGAAACUAUAAUGAAUAUUACCUCUGAUAUUGUACCCGAAGUACAACCUGGUGUGUUCACCUAUGAGUUAUAUACAAUAUUGAGCAAUUUCGAAUCUGCCAAUCUUGCUCAAGUGAAGUAUGUGCGAAAACAGACUCCUGGUAUUGAUGAAGACUUGGAAUUUAAUUUAUGGACAAAGCCAGAUUGUGGUGGCACAGAGUUUGAAUGCAAUUACAAAUCAUGGUUCUAUUUUGCCAUAAAAGGAGGUAUUCCGGGUACCGCUGUAAGGCUAAAUUUAGUGAAUUUAAAUAAACAAAGUAAAAUGUACAGUCAAGGCAUGACUCCUGUUUUUAAAGUUGAUUUAGGAAAAUCUGAAAAACCAAAUGCAAAAUUUAGUAAAGCAUCCUGGUUCAGAAUAAAAGAAAUACCCACAUAUCAGGUAAAUGAAAACCAAGAAUUUGUAUUGAGUUUUAGUCAUCGUUCUUUGGAAAACAUUGAAGCCACAACAUAUUACGCUUUUACUUAUCCUUACACUUAUACUGAUUUAUGUAAUAGUUUAAGUUUUUAUGAAAAACAAUUUCCAUUACCAUCAGAUUUAAAAGAGAAAAAUGAAAAGGAUAUAUAUUUUCAUCGGGAAACAAUAGUCAAAUCUUUAGACAAUCGCUCUGUUGAUUUGUUAACUAUAAGUUCAUUUAAAGAUAUUUCAGAAGAAAGAGAAUGUCGUUUGUUUGGAUUAUUUCCUGAUGAAAAUAAACCUAGACCAUAUGCAUUUAAAAAAAAAAAGGUUGUAGUUAUGAGUGCUAGAGUACAUCCAGGUGAAACUCCUUCUAGUUUUGUUAUGAAUGGUUUGAUAAAAUACUUGCUUAGUAAAGAUGAACAAGCUAAUAUUCUCCGACAGAAUUACGUUUUUAAACUAAUUCCUAUGUUGAAUCCAGAUGGAGUAGCUAGAGGAUUUUAUAGAACCGAUACUAGAGGUACUAAUCUUAAUAGAUUUUAUCUUAAGCCAUCUUUAAAAUUUCAUCCAACCAUUUAUGCUGCCAGAUCAUUAAUUUUGUAUCAUCAUCUGGGGUAUGAAUUACGAGACGAAUUAAUUAAAGAACAUUCAAAUAUAUUGGAUUUAACUACUUCUUCAUCAACUUUUUGUAGAUCAUCUGAUAAUGAUGAUGAUUUAAAUAUUAGAAUAAAAGAUAUGCUUGCAACAGAUUGUAUUGUAUAUGAUGGACAAAAUAAAAUAAAACCAAAAAUUAUAAAUAAUGAUCCAGAUUCAUUGAAUAUUUUAUUAAAGAAAAGUCAAUCAUGUACAGCUGAUUUUUUUACCAACAAAGGUCUUGAUUCAGGAUUAUAUUUGUAUGUUGAUUUCCAUGGUCACGCAUCCAAAAAAGGAAUAUUUAUGUAUGGAAAUCAUUUUGACAACAUUGUUGAUAAUAUUGAAUGUAUGGUUUACCCCAAGCUUAUGUCUAUAAACAAUCAAAAUUUUCAUUACACUUCUUGUAAUUUCAGCGAACAUAAUAUGUAUUCUAAAGACAAAAAGUUUGGUCUCAGCAAAGAAGGAAGUGGAAGAGUAGCUGUCCUUAAAUAUACUGGUCUUAUACGUAGUUACACAUUAGAAUGUAACUACAAUACUGGCAGAUUUGUCAAUUUUAUUCCACCUACAGUACAUUUUGUUGCAGAAAGAAGAACUCAAAGUCUGGUCCCUCCAAAAUUUACACCAACCAUAUUUGAACAGGUUGGAAAGUCAUUGGCAAUUUCUAUUUUGGAUCUGUCAAAUUUAAAUCCAAAUAGUCGGUUGGAGAAUAGUGAUUUUAAAUCAUUGACAGGAUUAAGAGAAAUGUUACGUUCAAAUAUUAUUUCUGAUUGUAACCGUAAUCGGCGUUUAGGAUCAAAAUCAACUAGUAACAUUAAUGUUGAUAUACCAAUCACAUCAAAACAAUUUUUAAACUUGAAAAAGAGAAUUUAAUGACUCCUUUAGGUUGAAAAGAUGUUCUCAGCUAUUUCAAACAUUUGUGUAUAAGUAAUGGCAAUUAUCCUCUAAGUAAAAAAAUCUUCAAUUUCGUAUG
rnacentral:misc_RNA from 1 species